GAAAUGCGAUAAGUAAUGUGAAUUGCAGAAUUCAGUGAAUCAUCGAAUCUUUGAACGCAUCUUGCGCUCCUUGGUAUUCCUUGGAGCAUGCCUGUUUGAGUAUCAUGAAAUCUUCAAAGUAAAUCUUUUGUUAACUCAAUUGGUUUCUACUUUGGUAUUGGAGGUCUUUGCAGCUUCACACCUGCUCCUCUUUGUUCAUUAGCUGGAUCUCAGUGUUAUGCUUGGUUCCACUCGGCGUGAUAAGUUAUCUAUCGCUGAGGACACUGUAAAAGGUGGCCAAGGUAAAUGCAGAUGAACCGCUUCUAAUAGUCCAUUGACUUGGACAAUACUUUUAUGAUCUGAUCUCAAAUCAGGUAGGACUACCCCUGAACUUAAGC
rnacentral:misc_RNA from 1 species